GACAGAGGGGGCAAGCGUUGCUCGGAAUUACUGGGCGUAAAGGGCGCGCAGGCGGCUGCUCAAGUCAGGCGUGAAAGGCCUGGGCUCAACCCGGGAAUUGCGCUUGAGACUGGGCUGGCUUGAGUGCGGGAGAGGAUGGUGGAAUUCCCAGUGUAGAGGUGAAAUUCGUAGAUAUUGGGAAGAACACCGGUGGCGAAGGCGGCCAUCUGGACCGCAACUGACGCUGAGGCGCGAAAGCGUGGGGAGCAAACAGG
rnacentral:rRNA from 1 species